UUAUGCGGACAUGCCAAUUUGAGAUGCCAGAUCUCAUCUGAUCUCGGAAGCUCAGCGGGGUUGGGCCUGGUUACUGUUUGGA
rnacentral:rRNA from 1 species